GACGAACGCUGGCGGCGUGCUUAACACAUGCAAGUCGAACGGAAAGGCCCUGCUUGCAGGGUACUCGAGUGGCGAACGGGUGAGUAACACGUGGGUGAUCUGCCCUGCACUUCGGGAUAAGCCUGGGAAACUGGGUCUAAUACCGGAUAGGAGCCAUUUUUAGUGUGAUGGUUGGAAAGUUUUUUCGGUGUAGGAUGAGCUCGCGGCCUAUCAGCUUGUUGGUGGGGUAAUGGCCUACCAAGGCGGCGACGGGUAGCCGGCCUGAGAGGGUGGACGGCCACAUUGGGACGGAGAGACGGCCCAGACACCUACGGGAGGCAGCAGUGGGGAAUAUUGCACAAUGGGCGCAAGCCUGAUGCAGCGACGCCGCGUGGGGGAUGACGGCCUUCGGGUUGUAAACUCCUUUCGCUAGGGACGAAGCUUUUUGUGACGGUACCUAGAGAAGAAGCACCGGCUAACUACGUG
rnacentral:rRNA from 1 species